CUUUUGGUCAUCUAAAUGACGCUGCAUGUCCUUACGCUAUGCAUGAGGACUUCCAGCGUCACCAGAAUUUUCAUAGGAAAGCACUGAAUAAUGCUUUCCUAUGGAGAGAUCAUAAUGCUAACGCAACCAUUGCCGUGAAUGCAAAUUAGGUCUCCCACGUCAGUGGGGGAGAAGCGUGGGCAGAGCUGAGCCAGCGCCCAGGGACAUUGGUGCAGGACCCAGAUAAGUGACAUAAG